AAUGAAUUACACACUAGUGUAGCGGCACUCCAAACCCUAGUGUUUCAGCGAACACAAAGUUCGGUAGCAAAUCACACUUAUGGAUGCUUUGUUUGUAGUUAAGAAUAAUGCAGAAUAAGGAGGACAACUCAGAAGUCGAAUGGAAAUUCUGAGAGGAAGAAAUGCAAAGUAUAGCCGAUGUUGAAUUCUUACUGAAGAGAAUAUCAUAUUGCAAUUUGUUUCUCCAGUAUACACGCAAUGUAUACAGAAUGUAUAUAAAAAAUAUACAGAGUGUUUCGAGUGUUU
rnacentral:lncRNA from 1 species